GAUUGGAUUCACCAGAACGUUUUCCCUUGCAAAUAUUGUAAGAUUUCAUAUAUUGAUGAGAUACACAACGAGGACCUCUGCCUCUGUAAGUGUCAGUAUUGUGCAUGAUCCCUGCCAUGCCCACUGUUCUGGCAUCAGAGUCUUGCCCUGUACAGUUUAGCCACUGUCAAACCAUUUUCUUUUAUUGUUGCUUUUCUUUUAUUGUUGCUAUCAAUAAGCUUCAUUAUGAAUUUGGUUUUUAUAAAUACUUUUCAUUGGCUUAGGUGUCCCAUGAGAAAACAGUGAGCACACCUCUUGGAUGUCCAGGUGGGCACACCCCUCAGAUGUCUAGUUUUAGUUUGUCACACAGCUGGUCAUUCUUCCCUGUUUCUCCUGUCACUAUGCACAGGAGACGCCUGCUUCAGGAUCUGAAAGUUUAAGGGUAAAACUACCCAUAGGAACAUGAAGGCAGAUCAAAGAGUGUCAAUUUUAAAAAUGAAAAUUGGGGCCAGGCACGAUGGCUCAAGCCUGUAAUCCCAGCACUUUGGGAGGCCGAGACGGGAGGAUCACGAGGUCAGGAGAUCGAGACCAUCCUGGCGAACACGGUGAAACCCCAUCUCUACUAAAAAAUACAAAAAACUAGCCAGGCGAGGUGGUGGGCGUCUGUAGUCCCAGCUACUCAGGAGGCUGAGGCAGGAGAAUGGCCUAAACCCGGGAGGCAGAGCUUGCAGUGAGCUGAGAUCCGGUCACUGCACUCCAGCCUGGGGGACAGAGCGAGACUCCGUCUCAAAAAAAAAAGAAAAGAAAAUUGGAACAUCUAUUACACUGGUAAAGAUAGACAUGUUUGACAAGAACAGUGUUGACUUAGAUGUAGGGAAAUGGACACUCUCAUGCAUCACAGAAGGCUAAACAUUCCUUCCUAGGAAAGAACUGCGGCCCUUUGUCUUAUAAGUGUCCCUGUUGUGGAAGAUCAAUGUAGAGACAUAAGAUGGGCCUGUACACACUAACAGAGAAAUAUCUCUAUAUUUGCUAAAUGGAAAAGCAUGUCAUAGAGCAGCACGAACGGUGAAAAAGCGGGAGAUUAUGUGAUAUGUCACCAUAUUAAUGUGCGUGUGAAGUUUCCAGGAAUCACGGCUUGAAUUCUCCAUCCAGUCUAUGGUCUCCCAUAGAGUGUUCCUUGAGAGUAGGCCCUGUCUCUCCAAGGAGAUCCAGAUGUCAGCUAUAGGUGAUAGACCCAGGGUGAGAUUUUCUCCGUCACUGGGGAGAGAAGAAACCAAGGACAAGGAGCAUUUAUGGGGAGACAGAACCAAGAAAAUCAACUCUGGAUCCCAGAAAGCUCAGAAGAGAAACAGUGAAGUCUCUGGGGGCUGCUGCUGUAGCUCAACCCCAACUUGUCCAUGAUCCCUUCGUGACCGCAGCCAGCACACCUUGUCCCGCACAUCUAUGUGCAAAGCCCACCUGGCUCUGUGUCUGGCUCAGGGUCAUUGAGGGUGAAUCCCAGGCUGCUGCUGUUACGGCUUCUGCACAGGGCCUUGCAUUUUGUAUGCUUGGUAUUUAGAGAAUGUCAAGUGUCUGGCACCAGGGUACAAAGAUCAUACACCCAGUAGGAAGAUUAAGAAACUGGCUUUGGCCGGGCGCGGUGGCUCAAGCCUGUAAUCCCAGCACUUUGGGAGGCCGAGACGGGCGGAUCACGGGGUCAGGAGAUGGAGACCAUCCUGGCUAACACGGUGAAACCCCGUCUCUACUAAGAAAUACAAAAACUAGCCGGGCGAGGUGGCGGGCACCUGUAGUCCCAGCUACUCGGGAGGCUGAGGCAGGAGAAUGGUGUGAACCCGGGGGGCAGAGCUUGCAGUGAGCUGAGAUCCGGCCACUGCACUGCAGCCUGGGCUACAGAGCCAGACUCCGUCUCAAAAAAAAAAAAAAA
ensembl:lncRNA